CUCCGGUUGAUCCCGCGGGACCUGACUGCUAUCGGAUUGGUACUAAGCCAUGCGAGUCAUUGUAGCAAUACAAGGCGGACGGCUCAGUAACACGUAGUCAACCUAACUCGUGGACGUGGAUAACCUCGGGAAACUGAGAAUAAACCACGAUAGGUCAUGAUUUCUGGAAUGGAUCAUGGCUCAAAUCUACAUGGCCCCUGGAUUGGACUGCGGCCGAUCAGGCAGUUGGUGAGGUAAAGGCCCACCAAACCUAUAACCGGUACGGGCUCUGAGAGGAGAAGCCCGGAGAUGGGCACUGAGACAAGGGCCCAGGCCCUAUGGGGCGCAGCAGGCGCGAAACCUCUGCAAUAGGCGAAAGCCUGACAGGGUUACUCUGAGUGAUUUCCGCUAAGGGGAUCUUUUGGCACCUCUAAAAAUGGUGCAGAAUAAGGGGUGGGCAAGUCUGGUGUCAGCCGCCGCGGUAAUACCAGCACCCCGAGUGGUCGGGACGAUUAUUGGGCCUAAAGCAUCCGUAGCCGGUUCUGCAAGUCUUCCGUUAAAUCCAGCCGCUCAACGGAUGGGCCGCGGAGGAUACUACAGGACUAGGAGGCGGGAGAGGCAAGCGGUACUCAGUGGGUAGGGGUAAAAUCCUUUGAUCCAUUGAAGACCACCAGUGGCGAAGGCGGCUUGCCAGAACGCGCUCGACGGUGAGGGAUGAAAGCUGGGGGAGCAAACCGGAUUAGAUACCCGGGUAGUCCCAGCUGUAAACGAUGCAGACUCGGUGAUGGGCUAGCCUUGUGCCAGCCCAGUGCCGCAGGGAAGCCGUUAAGUUUGCCGCCUGGGAAGUACGGACGCAAGUCUGAAACUUAAAGGAAUUGGCGGGGGAGCA
rnacentral:rRNA from 1 species